rnacentral:rRNA from 1 species
UAGUCCACGCCCUAAACGAUGCACACUAGUUGUUGCAAUGCUAGACAUUGCAGUAAUGCAGUUAACACAGUAAGUGUGCCGCCUGGGGAGUACGGUCGCAAGAUUAAAACUCAAAGGAAUAGACGGGGACCCGCACAAGCGGUGGAGCAUGUGGUUUAAUUCGACGAUACGCGAAGAACCUUACCUGGCCUUGACAUAGUUAGAAUAUAGCAGAGAUGUAAUAGUGCUAGUUUACUAGAGCUAACAUACAGGUGCUGCACGGCUGUCGUCAGCUCGUGUCGUGAGAUGUUGGGUUAAGUCCCGCAACGAGCGCAACCCACGUCGUUAGUUACUAACAGUUCGGCUGAGGACUCUAACGAGACUGCCUGGGUAACCAGGAGGAAGGUGUGGACGACGUCAAGUCAUCAUGGCCCUUACGGCCAGGGCUACACACGUGCUACAAUAGUUUUCAAAAAGAAGCAAAAAUGUAAGUUUUAGCAAAUCUUCAAAAAAUUGAAGUUCGGAUUGUUUU